rnacentral:rRNA from 1 species
UACGUAGGGUGCGAGCGUUGUCCGGAAUUAUUGGGCGUAAAGGGCUCGUAGGCGGUCUGUCGCGUCGGGGGUGAAAACUCAGGGCUUAACCCUGAGCCUGCUUCCGAUACGGGCAGACUAGAGGUAUGCAGGGGAGAACGGAAUUCCUGGUGUAGCGGUGGAAUGCGCAGAUAUCAGGAGGAACACCGGUGGCGAAGGCGGUUCUCUGGGCAUUACCUGACGCUGAGGAGCGAAAGUGUGGGGAGCGAACAGG